rnacentral:rRNA from 1 species
ACAUCCAGAGAACUUAGCAGAGAUUGCUUUGGUGCCUUCGGGAACUCUGAGACAGGUGCUGCAUGGCUGUCGUCAGCUCGUGUUGUGAAAUGUUGGGUUAAGUCCCGNAACGAGCGCAACCCUUUAUCCUUUGUUGCCAGCGGUUCGGCCGGGAACUCAAAGGAGGCUGCCGGUGAUAAACCGGAGGAAGGUGGGGAUGACGUCAAGUCAUCAUGGCCCUUACGGCCAGGGCUACACACGUGCUACAAUGGCGCAUACAAAGAGAAGCGACCUCGCGAGAGCAAGCGGACCUCAUAAAGUGCGUCGUAGUCCGGAUUGGAGUCUGCAACUCGACUCCAUGAAGUCGGAAUCGCUAGUAAUCGUAGAUCAGAAUGCUACGGUGAAUACGUUCCCGGGCCUUGUACACACCGCCCGUCACACCAUGGGAGUGGGUUGCAAAAGAAGUAGGUAGCUUAACCUUCGGGAGGGCGCUUACCACUUUGUGAUUCAUGACUGGGGUGAAGUCGUAACAAGGUAGGCGUAGUGCU